UACGAAGGGUGCAAGCGUUACUCGGAAUACUGGGCGUAAAGCGCACGUAGGCGGAUCGUUAAGUCGGGGGUGAAAUCCUGGAGCUCAACUCCAGAACUGCCUUCGAUACUGGCGAUCUUGAGUCCGGAAGAGGUGAGUGGAACUCCUAGUGUAGAGGUGGAAUUCGUAGAUAUUAGGAAGAACACCAGUGGCGAAGCGGCUCACUGGUCCGGUACUGACGCUGAGGUGCGAAAGCGUGGGGAGCAAACAGG
rnacentral:rRNA from 1 species